rnacentral:rRNA from 1 species
GAGUUUGAUCCUGGCUCAGGAUGAACGCUGGCGGCGUGCCUAACACAUGCAAGUCGAGCGUGAAGGUUAUGACAGAUUCUUCGGAUGAUGGAUUGACUGGAAAGCGGCGGACGGGUGAGUAACGCGUGGGUAACCUGCCCUACACACAGGGAUAGCCAUUGGAAACGAUGAUUAAUACCUGAUAACACAAAGACAACGCAUGUUGUUUUUGUCAAAGAUUUAUCGGUGUAGGAUGGACCCGCGUCUGAUUAGCUAGUUGGUAAGGUAACGGCUUACCAAGGCGACGAUCAGUAGCCGACCUGAGAGGGUGAUCGGCCACACUGGAACUGAGACACGGUCCAGACUCCUACGGGAGGCAGCAGUGGGGAAUAUUGCACAAUGGGCGCAAGCCUGAUGCAGCAACGCCGCGUGAACGAAGAAGGUCUUCGGAUCGUAAAGUUCUUUUCUUAGGGAAGGAAAAUGACGGUACCUAAGGAAUAAGCACCGGCUAAAUACGUGCCAGCAGCCGCGGUAAUACGUAUGGUGCAAGCGUUAUCCGGAAUCACUGGGCGUAAAGGGUACGUAGGCGGUUUUGCAAGUCAGAAGUGAAAGGCUACAGCUCAACUGUAGUAAGCUUUUUGAAACUGCAGACUA